CCCCCCCCCCCCCCGGGGCUCGGCGAGCGCAGCCGGUUCCUCUUUACAUAACGGCGCGGGGCGGCAUGGGCUCGGCCGCCGCCUCCGCCCGGCCGCCCGCCCGGACUGUCGCGGCCCGCGGUGGCGACGGCGGCGGCAGCAAAGUUUCCCCGGCGGCGGCCCGGGGCGCAUCCUCCCGCAACUGUCAAGCGCUGGCGGCGGAAAUGAUGAGGCGCUGGCCAUUUUCCGAGCCCGGGUUUCCUGCCUGAGCCCCGCUCGGUAGAGCCGCGAGCCAGGAGCCGGCGCGCGGAGAGAGCGCUCCCGGGCGGGGGCCCACCCGCCCCCUCGGGGUUUCGGGGGGCCGGAGGCGCGCGACGCCAUGGGCCGGCCGGGCCCGGACCCCCCGUGUCUCAGCUUCCCUGGAGCGCCUCCUGCACCUGCAGCUCUCGGGGUCCCGAGUCUGGGAGAGGAAUUCUGAAGACCCAGGCAGGAGGAGGUGAUGGUGCUUCCUGGCCGUGCGGCCUUGCCUGACCACGCCAGCCUCAGUUUCCUCAUCUGUCAAGUGGGUGUGAUAAUAGUACCUGUGUCGUAAGGUCGUUGGAACCGUAAAGAGUGAAGUCACAGUGUUUAGAACGGCUUGGUCAGGAGGAGUGACGAGGAGCAGUGAGGAGAUGGGCAUUAUCUGGUUCGACACGGAUGUCAGCUCUGCUUGUUUCCUUCUGAUUUUCCACCCCCACCCCCACCCCUCUGCACCCUGGGCUUGAUCUUUCUCCGAUAAACAGGACUUCCUAACCCCCGUCAGAUCCUCUGGAACCUCUCCAGAUACGGCGGUUCAGCCUGUGGGGGCCCGUGGACGUCUGGGUCCAGCUGGGCCACCUCAGGACACCCUCCGCCUCCUGAACGGAGCCUCCCCGAGGGAAGACGGGGUGGGGCUGGGGGCGCUCGGAGGGACCUCCCAGUGGCCAGUCCCAGUGCUGCCCACUCCUAGCGGGGAGACGGAGCACAUAAAGCUGGGCCUGGCACUCAAUUAAUAAUAGAUAUUAUUAUUGUUGUUGUUGUUAUUACAAGAAGAGGCCUUUCCUGUUAAGCUCUCUCUUUUCCCUGGUAGCAGCAUGGGCUUUGGGGCCAAAUCUGGGCUCUGUCAGCUUCUAGCUGUGAGGCCUUAGGCAAGUUACCUGAUCUCUCUGGGCCUCACUUGGCCAGUAGGGGCCAAGAGUCCCCACUUCCCCAGGGUAUAUGUCUGUAUGUGAGCUCAUAUGCAAAGUGCAUGGGCCUGGCACAGAGUAGGGACUCGAACUGUGUUGGCUGUAAUUGCUAUGGCUGUGUGACCCUGGGCUUGUCCCGUAACCUCUCUGAGCUAUGGUUCUCCUCAUCUGACAUGGGAGUACUAAUGACUACAGGAUAGGGUUGUUUUGAGAGGAGGUAUGCACGGGGCCUGGCAUGCAGUCAGCGCUCAGUAAGUUUGAGCUAUGCUAUUAAUGCCCAAAGGGGGCUGGCACUUAAUUGCCAGGUUUCCUGGGAGAACGGUCCCCAGGGCCCAGGUGCCAGCAUCCUCAGCUGGGCGGGGCAGGGAGCCACUUCCAUCUGGCAGACAGAGAAGCCUGCCGUAGAGUGCAGAGGUGCAACCCGAGCGAGCGGCUGGUUCCCAGCAGACCCUGUUCCCAGCUCCCACCCUCCCUGAGGAAACUGAGGCGGGCAGGCUGCCCAGGGGAAGUGACUCAGCUGGGGUCACUCGCUGAGUCAGGCCUAAUUGGACCCAGGAGCCCUGUGCCCCAGCUCCCUCUCUUCCGGCCCCCCUCCCAGGUCCCUUGGGGACUGGGCAGGUCCAGAGGCCACAGCUGGAUACCUGCUCAGUUGGGCCCCGAGGCCUGGGCGCCCUGCGUUCCUCAGUCGGGACUCCAGGGUUCCCCUGGGCGGCUCAUCUUGUGUCCCUCCUCCCAGCAGGGGCAAGGGGCACUUCCCCGGGAGAGCGGGUCCUCCUGGCGUCCCGGCCCCGCCUCGGCCGGAAACCCGGCAGCUGAGCAGAUGGCUGGAAGGUUUUUCCUCCCACGCCACCCUGACAGGGGUCGGCGAGGGGGGCCGGGCUGCAGGCUUCCUCGUGAGCCAGGCCCAGAGCCCCUGGGGGCCUGCCCGGAUGUGGGCCCCCACCCUGGCUGGCUGGGGGGAGCCUGCCGCUGCCCCUUGUGUCCCCAGGGAGGCCUGGGAGGGAGGAAGUCUGUGCCCUGCUCACCGGGAGCUGACUCACAGGGCGCCUGAUGGGGGGCUGGCCUUUCGAGGCGGGGAUGGGGGUAGGACGGGACACAAAAGAGGGCCUUUGGCACAGAAUCUGCCCUUUGAGAGCUGGCACUCUGGUAUCUUCUCACAGGAGGGCCCAGAGAGGGUGAUGAGUGUGAGGAGAGAUGCACAGGAGCGGGAAGCUUGAGCGCACCCCUCCCGAUACUAUGAAGUGGCAUGGUCUGCGGUGGGGAGGGGGUUGGGGGAGGUCCUCACUUGAAGGAAGAAGUCCCAUGCUGAGACAGGCAGGGGGUGGCGUUCAGAGAGUCUUGGCUUUCCCCACUCCUGGCUGGGUCAGUGGCCGGGGUGUCAGGCUGAGGGUGGGGGCAGAGGCAGCUGGAGGACAGUUCCUGUUCUGGCAGCCUGAUAAAUGUCCCUGGACACUAGGUGACUUCGAGAGGGUGCAUCAGGGCCCUGCUGGCUCCGCUGGUCCAGAGCAGAACCCACCCCUCGGCCUCCCCAGGGCCCCGGGGCCCUUGCUCCCUGCUUGCCCCAGGCUUCUCCAGUCUGACCAGUGUGAAUGGUGUGGAAGGGCAGGGAGCCGCGUCCCCUAGCUCUUUGGGCCUCCCUGGGCAUGGGGUCCAGGCUGCUAGAGAAGUUGGUGCUGUGGGUGGGAAAGACAGAAACGCUCCCUGUGGCCCGGAGUCAACCCCGAGGCCUCCUGGAGGAGGUGUUUCCCUCCGAAGGUGUGAGACUUCCUGCCCAAGUGUCUGUGAGCUGGAGGAGGGCGGGGGCUCCAGACUGGCUCAUUUUAACUUCAUUCACCACAGUUUAAAAUCUCCCCAAGCCUUGGCAGGUGGAAUUCCCCCAGGUGGGUAGAGGCCUUCUCUGCACCUGAGCCUGAUGAUUAAGGGAACCGUACGCUCCCCAGGUUCCCUCAUUACACAGGGUGAUGGGGCAGAGUGGGGCUGGGAGCCCCCGUCUCUGGAGCCACGGCUUGGAGUGGGCCCCACAGCUCAGAGCCAGGCUCUUCCCUGACUUGACAGCAGCUCAAGGAUCCCCCAGGAUGGACAGGCGUGAGCGGGGACAGCAGGCACGGGCUAAGGCUUCAUGGCCCUCCUUUGUGACCCUUGGCUGACUCUCCGGUGGACACAGUUGUUCUGAAUUCAGGGUCAUGAGAGGCAGGAUCCCCCGGCCCGGGCCCUCAGAUGGGUGUGGGGCGUGCUGCCCUGUGUGUUUGCUAUGAGGCCUGGGAGGAUGGGCGACACCAGGGUGCCCCAGGACGUGGUCCUGCCGCUCCACAUCGUCUCAUCCUUGGCCCUCAGCCUGGUAUGGGGUCGGGGAAAUCCUAGAGCCCCCCCAGCGGGACCCCUGCCCCAGGAGCCCAGGCUAAGCAGGGGGACAGACCCCCCGGAUUUACAGGCCCUCUGUGUCCCCCUGGCUGCCCAGGCCCCACAUGCUACAGGGGGGACAGAGUGCCCCAAGAACCCCUCCCCACCCCCCAACCUAAGCCUGAGGGCCCCUGGGAGUCCCGGAUGAUGAUGACCGCUUCCUGCCAGCAGCCCUUCGGCCCUGACCCCUGGGCCGGCCGGACCUCAUCAAUCGCUCUCCUCCCGGCCUGGCCCACAGUAAGUGCUCAGUGAGCGGCUACCCACCG
rnacentral:lncRNA from 1 species